ACCAAAAAAACCAAAAAACAAA
rnacentral:sRNA from 1 species